CUUGGAAAUAAUUCUGCACUGGUGUGGCAAAGAUAAAUAGCAAGACUCCAGAUACAAGCAGUGCCCCAGUUCCAACCAGCGUUUGCUUCAACAUUUUGAUUACCGGUUUCACCUAAAGGAUUGAGCUAGAGCAUACCUUGGAAGGAUUGAAGCUAGCAGCUGCAACUGGCAUCCCCAGUAUUGUAAAAGUUGUUAACCACAUACCUCCGAGCCGCUGGAAAAAGGAAGGUGGACUCAACUCAGCCCAGGAGUACAGGCUUGCUUCCUUCAAAGAUGAGUACUCAUUGACCUGUAUGAGAAAUACUUUCAGGUAUCAAGGAGACUAAAAUCACACUUGAAACUACUAUGCAAGUGUGAUAGCUUAUGAGGGCAUACAUACCGGUCUCUGCU